rnacentral:rRNA from 1 species
AGAGUUUGAUCCUGGCUCAGAUUGAACGCUGGCGGCAGGCCUAAUACAUGCAAGUCGAACGGUAACAUAGGAAAAGCUUGCUUUCCUGAUGACGAGUGGCGGACGGGUGAGUAAAGUUUGGGAAGCUACCUGAUAGAGGGGGACAACAGUUGGAAACGACUGCUAAUACCGCAUACAGCCUGAGGGUGAAAGCAGCAAUGCGCUAUCAGAUGCGCCCAAAUGGGAUUAGCUAGUAGGUGAGGUAAAGGCUCACCUAGGCGACGAUCUCUAGCUGGUCUGAGAGGAUGAUCAGCCACAUUGGGACUGAGACACGGCCCAGACUCCUACGGGAGGCAGCAGUAGGGAAUAUUGCACAAUGGAGGAAACUCUGAAUGCAGCCAUGCCGCGUGUGUGAAGAAGGCCUUCGGGUUGUAAAGCACUUUCGGAGGGGAGGAGAAUGACGUUACCCUCAGAAGAAGCACCGGCUAACUCCGUGCCAGCCGCCGC